GAUGAACGCUGGCGGCGUGCUUAACACAUGCAAGUCGAACGGGAAACAUUUUAUUGAAGCUUCGGCAGAUUUAGCUUGUUUCUAGUGGCGGACGGGUGAGUAACGCGUGGGUAACCUGCCUUAUACCGGGGGAUAACAGCCAGAAAUGGCUGCUAAUACCGCAUAAGCGCACAGAACCGCAUGGUUCCGUGUGAAAAACUCCGGUGGUAUAAGAUGGACCCGCGUUGGAUUAGCUAGUUGGCAGGGCAGCGGCCUACCAAGGCGACGAUCCAUAGCCGGCCUGAGAGGGUGAACGGCCACAUUGGGACUGAGACACGGCCCAGACUCCUACGGGAGGCAGCAGUGGGGAAUAUUGCACAAUGGGGGAAACCCUGAUGCAGCGACGCCGCGUGAAGGAAGAAGUAUCUCGGUAUGUAAACUUCUAUCAGCAGGGAAGAUAAUGACGGUACCUGACUAAGAAGCCCCGGCUAACUACGUGCCAGCAA
rnacentral:rRNA from 1 species